GUUAGGAAUAUUGGACAAUGGGCGCAAGCCUGAUCCAGCCAUGCCGCGUGAGUGAUGAAGGCCUUCGGGUUGUAAAGCUCUUUAGUCCACGAAUAUAAUGACUGUAGUGGAAGAAUAAGCCCCGGCUAACUUCGUGCCAGCAGCCGCGGUAAUACGAAGGGGGCGAGCGUUAUUCGGAAUCACUGGGCGUGAAGCGUGCGUAGGCUGUUUUGUAAGUCAGAAUUGAAAGCCCAGUGCUAAACCCUGGAAUUGCUUUUGAAACUACAAGACUCGAAUUCGGGAGAGGAUAGCGGAAUUGUCAGUGUAGCAGGGAAAUGCGUAGAUAUUGACAGGAACACCAGUGGCGCAAGCGGCUAUCUGGACCGAUAUUGACGCUGAGGCACGAAAGCGUGGGGAGCAAACAGGAUUAGAAACCCGUGUAGUCC
rnacentral:rRNA from 1 species